rnacentral:tRNA from 2 species
GCGGGGUUGAUACACUGGUUUAUCCACCGUGAAGCCUGAACGCCUUUCCCGGUUGCAUGUCGGUUCGAUUCCGACCCCCGUCU